rnacentral:ncRNA from 29 species
AUUUUAGUUAACUGAUAUUGAAAGUAGAGUACCCUUUCGCGGGGAAUGCGGUGCCCGCCUUCGUUGAAACUUCAGCGAGGCGAGGAAUUCCGCAACUGUGCCGCAACGGUGAACCCUUACGUAGCUUAAUGCGAAGUAGGGAAAGUCCGAAUACCGCGAUGGGUUUUAGGAUCGUC